ACCAGUGGCGAAGGCGACUCGCUGGACAAGUAUUGACGCUGAGGUGCGAAAGCGUGGGGAACAAACAGGAUUAGAUACCCUGGUAGUCCACGCCGUAAACGAUGAUAACUAGCUGUCCGGGCACUUGGUGCUUGGGUGGCGCAGCUAACGCAUUAAGUUAUCCGCCUGGGGAGUACGGUCGCAAGAUUAAAACUCAAAGGAAUUGACGGGGGCCUGCACAAGCGGUGGAGCAUGUGGUUUAAUUCGAAGCAACGCGCAGAACCUUACCAGCCUUUGACAUCCCGCGCUAUCCUGAGAGAUCAGGGGUUCCCUUCGGGGACGCGGUGACAGGUGCUGCGUGGCUGUCGUCAGCUCGUGUCGUGAGAUGUUGGGUUAAGUCCCGCAACGAGCGCAACCCUCGUCCUUAGUUGCCAUCAUUCAGUUGGGCACUCUAAGGAAACCGCCGGUGAUAAGCCGGAGGAAGGUGGGGAUGACGUCAAGUCCUCAUGGCCCUUACAGGCUGGGCUACACACGUGCUACAAUGGCGGUGACAGCGGGCAGCCACUUCGCAAGAAGGCGCUAAUCCCGAAAAGCCGUCUCAGUUCGGAUUGUUCUCUGCAACUCGAGAGCAUGAAGGCGGAAUCGCUAGUAAUCGCGGAUCAGCAUGCCGCGGUGAAUACGUUCCCAGGCCUUGUACACACCGCCCGUCACACCAUGGGAGUUGGAUUCACUCGAAGGCGUUGAGCUAACCCGCAAGGGAGGCAGGCGACCACAGUG
rnacentral:rRNA from 1 species